GGAGAGGUGCUAGAGUGGCCGAUUAGGCGCGCUUGGAAAGCGCGUGUUCCAGUUAAAUGGAACCGCGGGUUCGAAUCCCGCCCUCUCCGCCA
rnacentral:tRNA from 2 species